AGAACGUGAGCACCAGCAGCCCAUCAGUUUCAUCCAACUCUGUCCCUAACCAUGUAGAGCCAGGACUCUGAUGGAUAAACAUUCUGGAGCAGGCAAACUGCACCUGUAAUUUUCCAGCUGUGAACUGCUGGGGCUGAAGCAGCUGCACAUGGUCCCUUCUGCAGUGGUUGGCAACAUCUGGAGGAGGAGGAGGUGAUGUCAGAGGUCAUUGCAGCAGGUCUGAGACAACUCUGGUCCAAGCUGAAGAGGUUGAAUUAUUCUUGCUGAAAGAGGCUGCAAUUCUCCUGUUGCUAGAGCCCAGAGCCAGGAUCUCAAAGGACUAUUUGGAACAGAAUCAAGUGGCCAAAUACCUGCAAGGAAUCAUGUCCACAGCAGUUCAUCUGCAAACUGAGAAUUACUUGAAAAUCCACUUCAAGUAAGUCAUUCUCCUGCUACGAAAAUCUCAGCUUCCAGGAUUAGAAACCUUUUGGAAGAUUAUUCACUCCCUCAUCUGACAGUUAAAAGGAUGCCAGAAUUACUAUAUCCUGGACUGCAACUGAGGCCAUUCAGUGAAAGCAGCUUUCCUAUCAAGGGACCAUCUUUUCAGUGAGAUCCAUUACAUACCUCAGGGUUUGACUGAAGUAUUUAGUAUCCUUUUUUUUCCCCAUAAACACAAGGACCAAGCAGUCUUCUAAUCUUCAAGAUCACAAAUGCCCAGCUUCUACAGCUGCAGUAAUUAAACCAACUUCUCAUUCCAUUACCCACAUCAAGUCUCUUCCUCGGCAUCUGCUCUAUUCCCACACUGCACUUUCAAUCAAACCAAGAUAAGCUAUUUUCUAAGAUCAGCUGAUUUGUCUGUCCCUCAAGACAUCACCAGAGCCAAAAGGAUUCUGAGCAGAUAUGAUGCAUCUUGCUAAAUAUCCAAAAGGUCUCUUAAAGGAAAAAAAAGCAGACGUCAAUGCAAGUGGUUAUUUUUAGCAUCUGAGUUGUUCUAUAUUUAUUCCUUUAUGUCCUUCUAAAAAAAGCACAAUCUGAUGAAGCAUUACCAUAAAAUACACUCUACUGGGAAGUCUGCUUUAUGACUCCUGGCUACUGAGCAACAAGUACAUCACAGCACCCACUGAACCACACGAGUUUAAGGGUGCACACAGGACAAUGCUUCCUCAGUUCCAAAGAAAUGUUUAAAACAGUCCAAACCCAAAAACCAAACAAACCCAUCCACACAGAAAGCAAACUCCUCAGUAUAAUCUGUCAUUCUGAUUAGAUGCCACUCUUCAGACUGAAGCUUAAAAACUGCCACUUUUAAGUAUUUUUAAUUGUCUAAAUCCCCAAAAAACCCUCAAGACACCUUGUGAGUUACCUGUUAAAAACAACACAAACCAAACUCCAGGACACACCAUACUGCAACAAACCCUCAAGUUAGCAGGAACAGCAGCAGCUCAGCUCAUACAAAUACUCAGACUAUGAAAGACUACUUAAUCUCUUCCUUAUUCUCUUCCCUCAGAGCUUUUACCUUUUUGCCCUGAAGACUCCUGGCCCUCUACCUCCAAUAUAUUUACCCCAAUAUCCCUGUGCCUCUGAUCCUAUGCAAAUCAGCUGAAGAUACAUUUUCAAGGACAAGAAAAUCAGUUUAUCAGUUAAUCAAAGGUGUGGUUUAUUUGUGUAGGAAGAGUUAUGUCAAAUGAACAGGAAAAGAAAAACUGUGUCAAGGAAGCUUCUGCUAAUUGCAGUAAACUUUCAUAAGAAAAAGAAAACAGUUUAAGACAGGGCCUAACAUUUACAAAACUGGGAAGAAAACUUGUGUUUUGGAGCUAAUAGUAUUUUAAUUUGCUGCUCUAGAAAGACAGCUGUUAUCUAGCCACAGUUAUUUUAGAUUUUUGCUUUAUGCUAGA